UACGUAGGGUGCGAGCGUUAAUCGGAAUUACUGGGCGUAAAGCGUGCGCAGGCGGUUUUGUAAGCCAGAUGUGAAAUCCCCGGGCUUAACCUGGGAAUGGCAUUUGGGACUGCAAGGCUUGAGUGCGGCAGAGGAGACUGGAAUUCCUGGUGUAGCAGUGAAAUGCGCAGAUAUCAGGAGGAACACCGGUGGCGAAGGCGGGUCUCUGGGCCGUAACUGACGCUGAGGAGCGAAAGCGUGGGGAGCAAACAGG
rnacentral:rRNA from 1 species